GGCAGCCGCUCGCUCGGCCAGUCGCGCGUUACAGUUCCUCUCGAAGCCACCUUCCGUCCGAACCUGCAGUGUCCCAGUGCUUCUGUGUUCAGUGGAUAACUCCUUGAAUUCCGUGCGCCGAUGAGAGACUGACAGGCCUGCCCUUGCUCCUCCCGCUCCUGCCGCUGCCAGGCCCCGUUCCAUCCCGCCAAGGACUCCUCCUUCCAGCCGGGGUCAUCCACCUGCCCGGAUCCUGCCGCAGGAGCGCCCGCCUACGUCACUAGCCCCAGCCGCGCGCUGGACUAGUGAACCUCCGCCCGCCAGUGACCACUCCGCCGCCCUCGUCGCCCGCACCUUCCGCGGGCUGUGACGAGCACGUGAGUGAGCGUGUGUGUGCGUGUGUGUGAGCGUGUGCGUGUGUGAGUGUGCGUGUGCGUCGAAGGAGCCAUCGACUCCGACCUCCCACGCCCCCACGCACUCCGCCCGCCCCGCCCUCGCCCUCCGUCAGCCGCGGCGCCCUCGGGAGCGAAGUCUUUGCGCUUGUAACCGUGGCCGAAGAAGCUCUCUUCAUGAUUACCAUGGACAUUCCGACGCCGCCGACGCCACACCAGGUGGUCACCCAGAACAUCAUGCAGCAGCCCAGCCCCGACGACUCCAAGAAGAAACAUCGCGCCACUGGCCACCACGACGAAGGU